rnacentral:rRNA from 1 species
AUUGAACGCUGGCGGCAUGCCUUACACAUGCAAGUCGAACGGCAGCACGGGGGCAACCCUGGUGGCGAGUGGCGAACGGGUGAGUAAAGCAUCGGAACGUACCCGGAAGUGGGGGAUAACGUAGCGAAAGUUACGCUAAUACCGCAUAGUCUGUGAGCAGGAAAGAGGGGGAUCGACAGACCUCUCGCUUUCGGAGCGGCCGAUGUCGGAUUAGCUAGUUGGUGGGGUAAAGGCCUACCAAGGCGACGAUCCGUAGCUGGUCUUAGAGGAUGAUCAGCCACACUGGGACUGAGACACGGCCCAGACUCCUACGGGAGGCAGCAGUGGGGAAUUUUGGACAAUGGGGGCAACCCUGAUCCAGCCAUGCCGCGUGAGUGAAGAAGGCCUUCGGGUUGUAAAGCUCUUUCGGCCGGGAAGAAAUCGCACGGGCUAAUACCCUGUGUGGAUGACGGUACCGGAAUAAGAAGCACCGGCUAACUACGUGCCAGCCGCCGCGGUAA